ensembl:lncRNA
GGAAGUGAUCCAGACUCUUUACUCUGUGCUGGUGAGACCUCACCCAGAGUACUGUGUCCAGAUGUAGAGCCCUCAACACAGGAGAGAUUUGGACCUCCUGGAGUUUAUCCAGAGGAAUGCCACAAAAAUGAUACAAAGGAUAGAACACCUCCUCUACAAAGACGGACUGAGAGAGCUGGGGUUGUUCAGCUUGGAGGAGAGAGGCUCCAGGGAGGCCUGAUAGUAGCCUUUCAGUAUCUAAAAAUACGAUAAAAGAAAGAAGGAGACGGACUUUUUAGUGGGAUCUGUUGUGAUAGGUCAAGGGAAAAUGGUUUCAAAAUAAAAGGGGAAGAUUUAGAUUGGAUAUGAAGAAAAAGUUAUUUAUGAUAGAGAUAGUGAAGCACUGGAACAGGUUGCCUAGAGAAGUGUCAAUGAUCCAUUCCUGGAGGCACUCAAGGUCAAGUUGGAUAGGGUUCUGAGGAACCUGAUCUAGCUGUAGGUGUCCCUGUUCACUGCGGGGGAACUGGACUAGAUGAUCUCUUAUGGGUCCCUUCCAAUUCAAGUGAUUCUGUGAUUCUCUCCUAACUUCCACUUCUCCUUAAUUCUUUCAACAAAUGAUAAUUAGCACAAAGUACAAAUAUCUUUCUGUUAGCCUUCAAAACACUUGCUGUAGAAAAGUUUAUAAAUGUUUGGACUAAUAUAGUUUUUGAAACACUGAUGGUUGCAUUCAUCAGCCAUGUAGAUUUGAGGAGGAAAAAAAACUACUGAUUCAGAGAAGACAAAUGAAGAUUACAACAAGCCUUGUUGAAUUUGUGUCUCUGGAAAUGAUGCAAAUGUAUAAGAGUCAGUAUUCAAGUUCAUCUACUGUACUCAUUUAAGACAGUUCUCACAGCUAGGCAUCAGAAAUACUGAGUUCAUUAAAGCAUUUUCUGACAAGAGAAAAAUGAAGCUGCUAACGUCAUGAAUUUUCAUGUCUCCAGAUACUGAAAAGAGUUUAUAGAGGUAACUAACCGUACAAAUUCUGUUGUACUGCCUUCUUUAUACAGGUAAAAGCUGUAGUAUUUUUAGUAUUUGUUUUAUGGGUUUUGAUUGUUAGUUUGUUUUUCUAACCCUUCUGUAAACAGUCAUACUCAGACACUUUCUUGGAAGCCUUGGAGCCAAGAGUAAUUGAAAAAAUACCUUGUUAUUGAUUAAUUCUGGAAAUUGAGACUAAGACAUGCUGCAUGUUAACUUUAGAACUAAUAAGGGAGUAAAUUGUUACUUUUGCCUUUAAAUGACAGAAAUGUUUGCAAAUGCUGUUGAAUAAAAAAUAUAGUAAAAUG